CCGAGUUUUACAACUCCCAAACCCCUGUGAACAUACCUACUUGUUGCCUCGGCGGAUCCCAGCCCGCGCCCGUUAAAACGGGACGGCCCGCCAGCAGGAACCCCUAAACUCUGUUUCUAGGGAACUUCUGAGUAUAAAACCAUAAAUAAAUCA
rnacentral:misc_RNA from 1 species